UAAACUAUUUUAUGUUUUUUCUGGAUUGGUUUACAUUAUAUAGGCAGUUUUAUUUGCAGGAUUUCAAGGUGGAAUAUCAUGAACUCUCGCGCACAAAAUCAUGGGCCAGUGCUCCCACACUGUUGGCCACUAACUUCUAAAUUCUACUGGCCCUAUGGGCCAGUGGGGCAAAUUGGUUUGUGUCAAGCCCUGGAAUCUGUCUCUCUCUU